AAAAAAGGCAUAAUUGAAAAAUUAAGAAAAACAAACGUUCAUAUGAUUUUUUUCUAUUUAAGGGAUUCCGAAAAAGGUAUAAUAUGAACUUGGCUGGAAGUUUCCAAUAAGAGAAGGUGGUGGGUUUGUGUGCAAUGGUGUAUAAGAAACUCCUUAGAAUAGAAAUGUGAUGAUAAGUAAACUAUAGCCAGCACUCAGUUCCUAAAUGCCAUUCAACGCGUACGGUACGUUAGUCAACCAAAGUCAACCGAUAAAGUUAAUGAGGCUUUAUAACGAGUACUGGAUAAGCACAAUUGGUUAAAUAAAUGAUAAAAAAAUAAAAUUCGCAACUGUUGAACUUAUGCCAAUUAUUAUGGUUGCUCAUACGUUAUGGACCGCCGAGGUGUUGUGAUGUGAUAAUGUAUUUGUUUACGAGAUUGGCUGCUGUUUGUAAAUAUUUCAACAAAAAACGUUUAAGGUGAAACAGUAUAUGAAAUGCUAUGAAAUUAAGCAGAAAUAAAAAAUAAAAACAAAAAAAAAAAACAACAUUGGCGUUAAUUCACUAUUAAUAAGAGAAUUUUAUAUUUAUAACCAAUUUUUGUGUUAUUUUUCUGUUCCGUUGCGUUUGUUUCGCUCUGCUUUGCAAACAUUUUUAUGAACAUCUAUCUAGUAGUCUAAAGGUUAAAUAUUUUUAAACGAGUCUUUAUUUUUCAAUGAGUGCCGUAAUUAUUUGUUUGUUUAUUUAUAAACAAGAAACAUCAUUUAAAAUGUAAUAACAAUGAAAGUGAUGUAAAUUUAAACAGAUUUUCAAACAAAUUUUACAAAAUGAACUAAAAAGAUGAAAUAUUUUGAAGCAAAUUAAAUCGUGAUAUGAAAGUUGGGUUAAAAAAAAAAAUUAUAAAAUUAAUGUGAUAAAUUAAACGUCUUUAUUUGUGAACAUUGUGCUGUGAUUCAAGUUUUUGUGAUUGGACUUUAAUAUCUUCGAAUUAUUUUUAUCGUCUGUUUUGCUCGAAAGUAAGGAAAGUCAUGGACACCUUAGUUUACUAAUAUCGAGAACAGGUACGAACGGCUGGUCUAAUAACUUAUCAUAAAUCUACGUGAUGUCGUUAGAGCGUUGCCCUCAAAGUGUAAUCGGUUGCCAGUUUAGUGUUUAGUUAUCUCUACGGAGUCCUAUAAGUCGUGGUUGGGAGAAAGCGGCUCUGUUGAGGCUCUUUAUGGGAUAUGAUGCGUGGUCUUAACCAAGCGAAGAUACACGUUGAACGUUGUUGGAAUUAUGCCGCAUAUGAGCCUUCAUCUAGAACAUGUGACAUGAAGGAUGAAAAAUAUUCACACAAACAGCUCUUGAAUGCACGUCAAAGAAUCGUCUUUCUUUCAAUUUCUAAUUCAAGAUAAAAUCAAUCGAGAAAAAAUCAAGUCGAAAUACUAUUGGAAAAAAGGGAAACAUUUCUAUAUCCUAUUGAUGUAUCUUAUACGAGAGCCAAAUUUACUUCGCAGUACAUUUCUAAAACAAGAAGUCAGCUUAAGAGAAUGAGAUGAAGUGAGAAGACGAAAUGACUUCCGUACUGAAAAUGUCCGGAUGUGAAUGGUUGAGGAAUACCUCGGAAAAUUUCUUAAAUAAUGUCCCAACAAAUUCCGGCAACAACUAAAAUAAAUAAAACUUCUAUCACUUCACCAUA